rnacentral:rRNA from 1 species
ACGAGUGGCGGACGGGUGAGUAAUGUCUGGGAAACUGCCCGAUGGAGGGGGAUAACUACUGGAAACGGUAGCUAAUACCGCAUAACGUCGCAAGACCAAAGAGGGGGACCUUAGGGCCUCUUGCCAUCGGAUGUGCCCAGAUGGGAUUAGCUAGUAGGUGGGGUAAAGGCUCACCUAGGCGACGAUCCCUAGCUGGUCUGGGAGGAUGACCAGCCACACUGGAACUGAGACACGGUCCAG